AAGUCGUAACAAGGUUUCCGUAGGUGAACCUGCGGAAGGAUCAUUAGUGAUUGGCCGAAAGGCCCAUUCAUAUCCUUACAACACCUGUGAACCGUGGCCCUCGGGCCUCUUUUUACAACACACUGUGUAAUGAACGUGUCAUAUUGUAACAAACAGAAAAACUUUCAACAACGGAUCUCUUGGCUCUC
rnacentral:misc_RNA from 1 species